rnacentral:lncRNA from 1 species
GCUUAAGGUGGAAGAGAUAAGCUUGCAUGCAAUGGGAGUUUCAACAAUUCAUCAACUUUUAGAAGAGCAUAAUACAAACUCUAAGACUCAUGUAAUCAAGUUGAAACUCGACUUCUCUCAUUUAAUUUUGAGAGUUAAUCCUUAAUAUCCAUGGAGUUUAAAGCAAAAAUUUUAAAAUUUAAACAAAAAGUAGCUAAUUUAACUAAGUAAGAUAAAAAUUUAAACUAAUACUUACUUCCUCAUCUCUCCCCCCAACCGAGAUGAACAUUGUCCUCAAUGUUUGAAUCGAAAAUAAGGAGGAAGGAAGUGG